AAAGAAAAAUAACAUGAGAACACUAUAUAAGGAAUGACAUUCCAUUUUGGCUGGAAAGCAAUCUUCAAACCUGUUUGUACUGGCUCAUCUUCUUCAAGCCCUCCUAAAGAUUUUCCUGCCUUUUCAUUUAAGCUUUAAUAUGCACUGCAGAUGCAAUUCCCUCUUACCUCUUACUGUUUUUGCUGCAACUGCAUUAAAACACAUUAAGAGCACAGUGGGUUUGGCUUCUGAAUUGUCUACAGCAGAAUGAUUUUUUGACAAUUUUCAUAUAUCCCUAGACAUGACAAAAUCCACAAUGUAAAAUACACACUAUAAUACUGUAUAAUAUAAUACUGUUCUCCAGCUGAAUCCUUUCUACUACAUCCACAAAUAUAAAUCAUUAACAUUCUAUCAAUAUCUAUACUCUGAUAUGGCCAUUUCACCUAGCUGGAUUUGCGAAUAACAUGCUGCACAGUUGUUACACACAUGACACUGGAGCUCCCACCUAUAAUCUAACAGUAUGAAAUACACCUCAGAGAGCCACAGCACUGCAAUCAAUAUUUUCACUGCAACUUCAACACAUCAGCCACUGGAGACAAUUAAUUUGCCAGACAAGCAGACGUUCAGCAUUCCUUGAAUGCGUGCCGCCAGGUGUCUUUGCGUGUCACCCUGGUAUGCAAACAUGUGGUUAGUUAUAGCGGUUACGCAUCGUCUCUGCUGCUAGAAACUCUUUGUAACAAAUAUAUAUAUCAUUUGGUCUUUUAGACUAAAAUUAAGCAUCCCUCAAACUGCAAUAGAAACCUGAGCUAGGAAAGGCCAAGAUAAUAUUAGGAAGUACCUCAGGAAAGAAAAAGGAUGCAAUACCAUUCUUAAAAAGGGUAGUGAAAGAAAGCCCACAUAUGCAAAUUUAAAAAAAAAAAUAAAAACCCAAAACAAAACAACCAAACCAGAGUCCAAAUAAUGCUAAUGGAUCAACGUGGUUCUAAAGUAGGGCAAGACCCGUGGUAAUAGCUUGUAGCACAAGGACGGAAGCUGUAGCACGGCUCAGGAUACAGGGUGUGAGGAAGCACACACAAGCCACACUUUAGGAUGGAGGUAGAGGAGCCCUGGAAUGGGGCAAUACGAAAAUAAGCAAACGGAUGACACUGAGUCGGUGAGCUAAACGAUGCUUCGGGGAAUGACCCCGGGGUCCGCAUGGGAAGGAGAAAGGGACAAUAUGGAGGAAGGUGUGGGCGGAAACUGGAGGAAAAAGAGAUGUGGGGUGGUGGGUGCCCCCCGUGAGAGACUGAGCGUGAGGAGACACCGCAGCACCGCCGAGGGGACAGGAUAAGCCGCACCAAGGGAGAGCGGGGAAAGGAAGACGAGCCAGGAACUCCAGUUCGUUCGCACGGUGAUGCAUCCCGAGCACAUAGUGAGGAGGGCUUGACGGAGUUUAGUUCACCUGAAGGAGUUCUGCUUCUGAGAGGCGCUGAAAUGGAGGGGAGAAAAGAAGAAAGAAGUUACUAAGAAAAAUGCUGGCUUUAGAACAGUGGGAAAGGAGCCAUAAUUUUUCCAAGGUAAAUCUCUGCUGUUACCUUCUGAGUGAGUCAUCUAUCCCCCCAAGGGGUAUAGUUCACUUUCUGAGCUCUUAAAAUAGACUUUUGUAAUGGGUUUGUUCCUUCAUCAGACACUUUCCUUCUGUAGCUGCCUUAAAAGGGCUUAAAUUCUUCUAGUUACUGCCUGAUUGCCUCAUUUCAUAUUCCACAUGUCUUCGGCAGAGAAGGAGGUUGAAGCAUUCGUUUUUUCUUCAGUAACAGAUUUUGGCAUGCAGAUUUGAAUGGGAAUGCUGAAAAACACAAGCUCGUGUUCUGAUUGCAUCGCAAUUACUAACUGCAAAGGAUGACUCCUCUGGUUAGAAAUAGUAGAGCUAGCAAGAAAAGCAUGUUGAGGCAAACCUAAAGUGGGAGAGCUUUAUAAGUUUUGGUGUUUGUGCUUACUAGUUUAGAAGGUGGAAGAAGAAAUCUACCGUGAAAGGGGAGGUAUAAUAUGGACAGUAGUUGUAUUAAAGUGUCAUGAAAAAAAGAGUAAGCGAUGCUACCACACAGUGGUUUUGCUUGUGUAACUGGAAGUGGUUCGUUUCUCAUGUGUAUCAUGUAAUUUGAGUUUGCAUCAAUACUUGCAUAACUUUCUAUUAUGUUUGGGAAGUGGUUUUUUUUUAAUGUUGCAAUUUAGUAACCUAAACUGUAAUAGCUUCCAUCUGUGGUUUAAUAAAUUACUUUUAUAUGUUUUAAUAUGUCUGUUGUUAUGGUCACUGUACAAUGUCUAAACCCUGUUGUUAAAAGUAACAAUUUUUUGCUUUAUAAUUCGAAAACGUGGGGUCUUGGUCUUUACUGCUUAAAAAAUGUAAUUUCACUCUACAAUAUGAAGGUUGAUAAGCUGGUGAAUGUCUUGCCUUUCUAGCUAUCUGAAAUAGUAUCCAUAUGCUGAUUGUAAAUCUCUUUCUAUCUAGAGCAUUUACAAAGAGAGCACUAAGUAUUAAAUUGCCUUUUCAGGAAAUGGAAGCAGCUUUUGUUAACAUGGUCUGUGCUGUGCUUUCACCUUCUGCUGCGUGGCCCUGCCCUCUGGUGGGCACGCAAAAGCUGGCU